UCAACUGUCAACGGGGUUUCAGCAAGUCAAGUCAGCAGCAGAUUCAGCCAGAAUUCAUUUCAUUUUCAGAUUUUGAAGUGUUUUGAAAUUUUCGAUGUGAAAUUCGGUCACGGUGGAUUAUUGUUAUUGCGAGAAUAAUUAAAUAAUUACGAGAGAAACAAUUACGAAUAAAUUUAGAAAAAAUACAAAAUUAAGAUCAAGUGACGAAAGAGUGUGUAAAACAGAAAUAGGAAAGUGAUCAAAGAAAAAAAUUAUACCUAUAUUUAUUCGCAUUGGAAAUUCUCCCACAAUUAUUGUCAAUUGCAUUUCAACUGGGAAAAUAUAUGCAACGUGUUGUUAUUGAGUGUUUUUAAGACAAAGAAAAAUCUUCCAAUUGCACCAUCAUCCGUAAAUAGGAUUAUUUAUCAGCGUACCAACAAAUUCAUUUUCAAAAUGAUUUAUCGGCUGGUUUUUCUUGUUGCCGAAGGUCGGAGCCGCUUGUUGACGGCGCUAUGCAAAUAUCCACUACGGGAUAUGGUUUUACAUGUUAAAACUUGAUUUUAGUGACGAAUAAAUUUCCAAACUGAAAAAGAUUG